GUUUUAUUGAACAAUAUAACAAGUAUCUGGUUCCAGGAUUGGAACGUGAGAAUAUUCAAGUGAACGGGCAACGGACGCUCGGAGAGAACAUGGCGGAUGCUGCUGGAAUUGUUGCUGCAUAUUACGCGUACAAGAACAGAAAAGCAAGAUUGAAUGAAACAGAGUGGCGGCUGCAAGGACUGGAAGAUUAUAGCGAAGAUCAGAUCUUCUUCUUGGCGUAUGCUCAAUUAUUCUGCGAAAGUGCUUUGCCAGAAACAAUACAAAGUAUUGAUUAUACUUCUGACGUCCAUCCUGCGAGCGAAAUUAAGAUUCGCG